UACGAAGGGUGCAAGCGUUACUCGGAAUUACUGGGCGUAAAGCGUGCGUAGGUGGUUCGUUAAGUCUGAUGUGAAAGCCCUGGGCUCAACCUGGAAAUGGCAUCGGAAACUACCUUGCUCGAGGUUUGGAGGGGGGACUGGAAUACUUGGUGUAGCAGUGAAAUGCGUAGAUAUCAAGUGGAACACCAGUGGCGAAGGCGAGUCCCUGGACAAAACCUGACACUGAGGCACGAAAGCUAGGGGAGCAAACAGG
rnacentral:rRNA from 1 species